CCUACGGGUGGCAGCAGUGAGGAAUAUUGGUCAAUGGACGCAAGUCUGAACCAGCCAUGCCGCGUGCAGGAUGACGGCUCUAUGAGUUGUAAACUGCUUUUGUACGAGGGUAAACGCAGAUACGCGUACCUGUCUGAAAGUAUCGUACGAAUAAGGAUCUGCUAACUCCGUGCCAGCAGCCGCGGUAAUACGGAGGAUUCAAGCGUUAUCCGGAUUUAUUGGGUUUAAAGGGUGCGUAGACGGUCGGAUAAGUUAGUGGUGAAAGUGCGAGGCUCAACUUCGGAAUUGCAUUUGAUACUGGUAGCCUUGAGUGUAGUUGCGGUAGGCGGAAUGUGUGGUGUAGCGGUGAAAUGCUUAGAGAUCAUACAGAACUCCGAUUGCGAAGGCAGCUUACCAAGCUACUUCUGACGUUGAGGCACGAAAGCGUGGGGAGCAAACAGGAUUAGAUACCCUAGUAGUC
rnacentral:rRNA from 1 species